CUCUGCGCGCGGGCAGCGGGCGGCGGGUGCGCGGGGCAGCCGCUCCUGAGGCCGGGGGGAUGUGGCCGGCGCCUGGGAGGCGGCGCUCCCGCCAGGGCUGCGCUGGAGCUCCGCGCAGACGCUCUCCCGCGGUCUGCGGCAGCCCGGGGCGGUGGCGCCGGCGACAGCUCAGCGCCGCGGGCCCCCGGAACUGUCCGACCCAGCGGGAGCGCGGGCUGAGCGGCCGCUCGCGGUCUCCACGCUCGGCGCCUGCGCGCCCGGCCUCGCCCAGAAUCCAGACCUCUUCUAGUUGGCCUGGCUCGCUCUACUAAAGACAGACCCAAACGUUUCUUUCCUAGGCUUAGUUUUUGAAUCCCUGGUGCAUUUAACUCACUAUGGAGAUGUAAACAUGAAGAAUUCUCUGAAGACCUAGAUCCUUGGCUGGCGAGAUGGCUUAGUAGUAAAGAGCACCGACUCUUCCAGAGAUCCUGAGUUCAAUUCCCAGAAACCACAUGGUGGCUCACAACCAUCUGUAAUGGGAUCCAAUGCCCCCUUCUGGUGUGUCUGAAGACAGCAACAGUGAACUCAUAUACACAAAUUAAAUAAAUAAAUCUUUUAAAAAAAGAGAGAGAGGAAUAAAAAGACCUAAAUCCUUUGGGUUCAAACUGUACCUUUAAAUAGUUUUCAUGUUGACCUUUGUGAUAAUGUUGAAUUUACCACAUUGAUGAAUGUCUUAAUGCUUUGUCCUUACUGGCGAGUGCCAUGUUCCGGGCACCAUCUGUGCUGUAUUCUAUUGUGCCAUGUAAGAUCGCUACGAUGGAGAAAAUAUUAACAUCAUCUUACAGAAGAGGAAAGAGAAUCAGUGAGUUUGGGAUGUGCUAACAUCACCAGUGGAAAGUUCUGGUUUAUUUGGAAAGUCAAUUGGGUCAAAUGAUGUUUUGCUGGGGCACACCAGUGAAAGGAUGCCUUGCUAAAACAAAUACCUAAAAGAAUGUGUUCCUGAAGCAGACACAGGCGAAAGGAUGUUUCCCUAUAGAAGACACAGGAAAGGACAAGUCAUGAAGGAGUAUAAAUAUGACCCCACAGACAGCAGGAGGGAGAACAUUGGUUUGGUUUGCUCCGCCUUGCUAUCCUUUGCUUACAAUAGGCGUGUGUUGGUUAGCCUUGCAUAGUGUUGUCAAGGCCUCCAGCAUUGAGAGAAACUCGCCAAAGAACUGAUCCUGAGGUUCCUGAAGCAGCGUGCCAGGUCCCACUUCCACAGCCGCCCCCACCCCCACCCCCUUUGGCAAGCUUUGCUGUUUCCUCAGGAGUGAACUACAGAUGCUGGUUCCUGUAUGGUGUCUGCCUGCCAAAAGCACUGGACUGAAGCUGCUGAUUCGUAUUUAGAGUUUGCUAUGGGACUGAACUGCUGACAAGGAAGACUGAGCUUGCCCUCAAAGAACAAUUGCUGAACAGGUCCACUUCCCCCAUAUCCUAAUAACUUUUCUCUUUUUUUUUUCCCCACUACCUCUGCUGGGUCAUGGCCAAGAAGGAAAUAUACACUUGAGGGCAAAUUCUUUGCAGACAAAGGACAGAUAUACACAGUAUUUGGUGAGCACUAAAACAGCUUGAGAGAGUAAGCACCACAGGAGUGAGCAAGCUAUGAAGAAGUUCUGGUAAAGAUAUGGCGUGGGGACCUUGUUCUUUGCGACAGUGUUUCCAAAUGGAGCUUACCAUAUUCUCCAAAGACCUAAAAUAGUCUCUCCUAGUUACUCAGGAGAUCAUUUUGAUCCCAAACUCAAUCUUACAGAAAUAACCCUGAAUGUGUGAGGAGGGUGACACACCAAAAACUAUUUAUCAGAGCUUCAUGAACGAUUGGGAAAACUGAAGACUGCCAAAAAGGGUCAGAACAAGUCCCAGUAAAUAAAUCUCAUUAAACAAACAUUUUGAAGCUCUUCUUAUUGAUGUUUAUUUGAAUUUUAUGGUGAUGUGAAAAAUUAUUUACUGUGGCUUCAAGAAAGAGAAAUGGA